rnacentral:rRNA from 1 species
UACGUAGGGUGCGAGCGUUAAUCGGAAUUACUGGGCGUAAAGAGCGCGCAGGCGGUCGUCCAAGUCGCGUGUGAAAGCCCCCGGCUCAACUGGGGAGGGUCACGCGAUACUGGUCGACUCGAAGGCAGGAGAGGGUAGUGGAAUUCCCGGUGUAGUGGUGAAAUGCGUAGAUAUCUACUGGAACGCCGAUGGUGAAGACGCUCGGCUGGGCCUGUCCUGACGCUGAGGCACGAAAGCGUGGGGAGCAAACAGG